rnacentral:rRNA from 1 species
GACGAACGCUGGCGGCGUGCUUAACACAUGCAAGUCGAACGGAAAGGCCCUGCUUGCAGGGUACUCGGGUGGCGAACGGGUGAGUAACACGUGGGUGAUCUGCCCUGCACUUCGGGAUAAGCCUGGGAAACUGGGUCUAAUACCGGAUAGGAGCCAUUUUUAGUGUGAUGGUUGGAAAGUUUUUUCGGUGUAGGAUGAGCUCGCGGCCUAUCAGCUUGUUGGUGGGGUAAUGGCCUACCAAGGCGGCGACGGGUAGCCGGCCUGAGAGGGUGGACGGCCACAUUGGGACUGAGAUACGGCCCAGACUCCUACGGGAGGCAGCAGUGGGGAAUAUUGCACAAUGGGCGCAAGCCUGAUGCAGCGACGCCGCGUGGGGGAUGACGGCCUUCGGGUUGUAAACUCCUUUCGCUAGGGACGAAGCUUUUUGUGACGGUACCUAGAUAAGAAGCACCGGCUAACUACGUG